AUUGAACGCUGGCGGCAUGCCUUACACAUGCAAGUCGAACGGCAGCACGGGUGCUUGCACCUGGUGGCGAGUGGCGAACGGGUGAGUAAUACAUCGGAACAUGUCCUGACGUGGGGGAUAGCCCGGCGAAAGCCGGAUUAAUACCGCAUACGAUCUACGGAUGAAAGCGGGGGACCGUCGGGCCUCGCGCUAUCGGGUUGGCCGAUGGCUGAUUAGCUAGUUGGUGGGGUAAAGGCCUACCAAGGCGACGAUCAGUAGCUGGUCUGAGAGGACGACCAGCCACACUGGAACUGAGACACGGCCCAGACUCCUACGGGAGGCAGCAGUUGGGAAUUUUGGACAAUGGGCGAAAGCCUGAUCCAGCAAUGCCGCGUGUGUGAAGAAGGCCUUCGGGUUGUAAAGCACUUUUGUCCGGAAAGAAAUCCUUGGCCCUAAUACGGUCGGGGGAUGACGGUACCGGAAGAAUAAGCACCGGCUAACUACGUG
rnacentral:rRNA from 1 species